AGCCUGCUGUUCUGUCUGCUGAAAAAUGAAUGUGCCUCAGAAUUUAGUUUCCUGAGAUGACGGGAAGCAAAUUAUAUGUGCUACCGGCAGGAUAGCAGCACACAAGGGUUGUUUCCAUCCUUUGCCAUCAAGUACUCAAGAAAAAGAAGAAAAAAUAGCCACUAUGACUUAAUUCAAAUUGUAAGUGUUCUUCACAGACAUGCCACAGGCUACCUGAAUGAAGCUCAUGGAUCACUGGUAUGCAGACCACAAACUUGGAACCCCCGAUUUACAUCAUUCUUAAUUAUUGGUUCUCUGGUCUUCCAGCAUAUCCAGCUGCCUGUGUGGUAAAGGCACAAUAAUUUCUCUUAGGGGGUAAGGUUCCAAAGUAGC